ACUCCCGUAGAGCCAUUUGCCUUCUGAGACUGAGUCGAUUUGAAGAGGCCAAACAGGACUGUGACUCCGCUCUGCAGAUGGAGCCGCGCAACAAGAAAGCCUUCUACAGACGAGCCCUGGCCUUCAAAGGCUUACAGGACUACCUGUCAGCCAGCAGUGACCUGCAGGAAGUCCUCCAGUUGGACCCGAAAGUCCAUGAAGCGGAGCAAGAGCUGGAGGUGGUGACAAACCUGCUGAGACAGAGUCUGAUGGACAACACUGCACAUCCACCAAGGGUUUGAUGUGUUUUGUGAAGGAAGAGGAAUGAAACUGGAGUGGAAAUAAACUGUUUUGUAACUGUAAUGGAGAAAAGGACUCUUAAAGCCAUCGUCUGCAGUAAGUACGUCCUGUAGAAAUGAAAAUGACUGGCACUAGCGUCCUGGGACGGCUUCUCAGACAACCAGCUCUGCACCAUCUGCAGUGUGUGCACACCACACCAUGACUCCUGAGUACACAACCUUACAUAACAGGCAGCUUCAUUUGAAACGGCUAAUGUCAAGGUACUCAUGACCUGCUUGCACUAAAAGUCAUUCACAUUAUGAUGUAAUGUACUGUAGAUACAGAGUCUUGUAACAGGCUGCAGAGCUCUGUGGUAUGGUGAAGUAACACAGGGGGAGAGUUAGAGUGUUAUGUGUGCCUUAUCAGGAUUUCUACCGGAGUAAAGGACGAAAAAUGCCAAGAAUAAAAGUCUUAUUUUGAUUUAUUUUAAAAGGUGUUUAGUUUCCUGAGCUUGUGAUAAAGCUAAUGCAAAGGCAUUCAGGUCUACUGUAUUAUUGUUAAGGAGUUUAAAAGGUUAAAUCAGUCAUUAUUCACCACAAUCUUUGUGUCCAGAGAUUAGACUUUUUCUGCUGUUUUUCAUUGUUUACAUUGAUUUUAAUAAUGAUGCUGCUACUUAUUCAAGAAGCCAACAACUCAUUUUAAGUUUUUACAAUAAUGUUAAAUGUAUUGAGGCUGAGAAUGUCCGAGCCUGCAAUUAUUUCUUUGCCCCUAAGAUUACAGCAUGUUUUCUCGCAAUUUUUGGCUAAUUACUAAAGUUAUCAUAGCAAAAAAAAACUGCAAUAACAGGAUUUUUUUCUCUUAAAAUUCUCAAAAUUCUGGGAUAAUAAUGGAGAAAUAGAAAAAUGUUUGAUAAUACCUCAUUAACUGGUGGUGAAGGGUGUAUUACUUUACAGUGACUCAAGCAAUAAAUGUGUAGUUCUGUUUGCUCAAAUCAGUUAAUAGAGCAGACUUCUGGUUCUGUUAAUGAAAUCAGUCGCUGCUGUUAUAAAGAUGCUGGCUAUGCAUGCUGUCAUGGUACCUCUGUGCCUGAUGAAAAUAUAAUAACAGGAAACCAGAUUUAUAAAAAUCUUCUCUCAAGAUAGAAGAAUUAAUUUCUCAAGUUAGCAGUUUAAGUAGCAAUUUAAAAUAGCGGCAUAAAAAGGAAUAAAAGCAAGGCUGUACUCUGCUUCCAUAGAAUUAAGGCUUUCAUGUUUUAAAAUAUUGAUUUCCCUCAAAUCCAAAAAAAUCACAAGCUCAGCGUCUAAGUUUUUGUCAAUGAAUAAUUGUUAACCCUUUGUUUUAGCAGCCACUUAAAGUAGCGUACUUCAUUCUGUUCUGUAAGACUUAAAGUAGGUCUCAGGUUCUACCUUGAAUGUUAAUGAUGACCGUGUCUCUGUCUGUCUGUCUGUCAAUAGGUGUACAGUAUUCAUGUUUGGAAAGCGACUUUUCAAAACACUCCUCAAGUUUUCUAAAUGCAUCUUUGAAGACUCUUUCUGUUGCUCGAACACUUCAAGCUGGGAUGAGGAAAUUAUCAAGGAUUCCCACGUUUGAAUUUGCUCCGUCAUAUUAUCCAUGCAACAAAAAUCAAAUCCCUAUCAGCCCCAAACACACAAUAUGUAAAUCUAUAGCACAAUGUGCCACGAACUUGAGUAUAUCCAUCUGGGUAGAAAGGUUUGAAGACACUUUGUCUACUCUUAUUUUGCUCUUUCCCAUCGUCUUCCUCGUGUCUUCAAAAUAAAAGCAUAAAGCUCUAACUGAUAACACUUGAUAUGAGGCUUGAAGUGUUGCUUCAUGGAAUGUAAAUUACUGUAUGCAUGUCGUGUAUGUAAAUAGUUUGAAUGCAAGUGUAAAUAAAAAACUGCUACGUGGUUGCUUAAA